rnacentral:misc_RNA from 1 species
GUUCAAAAAAAAUCUAGUAGAUUGACUGAUUGAGGCAUCAAAAAUAUGGAGGACGCGAAGCACCUGCGUCUCAUCCUUCGUGAUUUCCUUACUCUCAAUGAAUGCAAGGAAUUGGGAAUUCAUUCACAAGAGUAGCAGCACUGUGGGGUAUAGGCCCAACGUCUUCUCCACCACCCUCUCUCAUCUCAUCGCUACCAAUUGUCCCCACUUUAUCAUCCCUUUUGUUCCCAUCCGUGAGAGGUUGAAAGAGAAGGUAGAGGAGUUCUUUGGCUGUGAGUAUGAGCUCUUCGUGGAAUUCACUGGUUUGAUUAGCUGGAGUAAAGGAGCAAGCAUUGGAUGGCAUAGUGAUGAUAACAGGCCUUAUCUCAAACAAAG